UCAAGUGGGUUAGACGACACGUUCAUGAGUUGCCAUCCAGCUAACAAUUAAAGAUGCAAUGCACGUUCUUACACCAACAUGUCGGCGAGCCCGCAAUGUCGUCGCACUAAAUGUAUAAACACUGCUCCUCAUCUUAUUUGGUACAGGUUUAUUUACUUCCAAUGAAAAUUCUCGAUAAACAAUGGUUGCUGAGGCUGUCUUUAUCAUUCUGAUAUUUUCAGACCUCUCGUUAGUGAAUCUAAUUUAUGUGGAGCAGAGAUCUAUAUUUAUGUGUGAAAUGUUCAGUCAACCUUUUCAACGAAUAACACCAGAAACUUGCCAUCGAUCCAUGAACAAGAGAAAAAGGCAAAAAUUAGGUGAGCCAUGAAAAAAGUUAAAAAAAAAAAAAAGCGAAAAAAGAUAUACCAAA